AGAGACUUAGGUUAACCACAAACCAGGAGCCUUCAAAGCUCAAAAUGGGGGUUAAAAUCCCUCAGCCUCUG
rnacentral:tRNA from 1 species